GAUGAACGCUGGCGGCGUGCCUAAUACAUGCAAGUCGAGCGAACGGACGAGAAGCUUGCUUCUCUGAUGUUAGCGGCGGACGGGUGAGUAACACGUGGAUACCCUACCUAUAAGACUGGGAUAACUUCGGGAACCCGGCGCUAAUACCGGAUAAUAUUUUGCACCGCAUGGUUCAAAAGUGAAAGACGGUCUUGCUGUCACUUAUAGAUGGUUCCGCGCUGCAGUAGCUAGUUGGUAAGGUAACGGCUUACCAAGGCAACGAUGCAUAGCCGACCUGAGAGGGUGAUCGGCCACACUGGAACUGAGACGCGGUCCAGACUCCUACGGGAGGCAGCAGUAGGGAAUCGUACGCAAUGGGCGAAAGCCUGACGGAGCAACGCCGCGUGAGUGAUGAAGGUCUUCGGAUCGUAAAACUCUGUUAUUAGGGAAGAACAUAUGUGUAAGUAACUGUGCACAUCUUGACGGUACCUGAUCAGAAAGCCACGGCUAACUACGUG
rnacentral:rRNA from 1 species